rnacentral:rRNA from 1 species
UUCGCUCUUUAUUUGUUUUUUUUUUUUUUAAUUGUACGGCAACCACAGAGAUCUACACUAUCCUCUUCGUCGGCAGCGUCAGAUGUGUAUAAGAGACAGGAUAUGCCCGGAAACGCGUACGGAUGACUUGUGGCUAGCGGAGAAAUUCCAAUCGAACUCGGAGAUAGCUGGUUCUCCCCGAAAUAGGUUUAGGCCUAGCCUUGAUUUGAGCUUCUUGGAGGUAGAGCACUGAAUGUGUAAUGGCCCCGUCUAGGGGUACUGCAUGCAAUCAAACUCCGAAUGCCAAGAAAGUAUAAUCAGGAGUCAGUGUAUGGGUGAUAACGUCCAUACGCGAAAGGAAAAGAAUCCAGAUCGCCAGCUAAGGUCCCCAAAUUUGUGUUAAGUGGGAAAGGAUGUAGAGUUGCACGAACAGCUAGGAGGUUGGCUUAGAAGCAGCCACCCUUUAAAGAGUGCGUAAUAGCUCACUAGUCGAGUGGCACUGCGCCGAAGAUGUACCGGGGCUAAACACAAUACCGAAGCUGCGAACUUAUACCUUUAGGUAUGAGUGGUAGGGGAGCGUUCCAACUGCUUUGAAGGUAGACCGUGAGGACUGCUGGAGCGCUUGGAAGUGAGAAUGCCGGUGUGAGUAACGAAAAAUGGGUGAGAAUCCCAUUCACCGAUUGACUAAGGUUUCCUGGGUAAAGUUCGUCUUCCCAGGGUAAGUCAGGACCUAAGGCGAGGCCGAAAGGCGUAGUCGACUGGACAACAGGUUUAUAUUCCUGUACCACCUAUACGACUGAUGGAGCGACGGAGAAGGCUAACGGUAUCCGGUUAUUGGAUUCCGGUCUAAGCACAAAGGCUUGUAUAUUGGCAAAUCCGUAUUACUAUCAUGCUGAAGUGUGAUGGGGAAAUGAUGUCUUCGGACUGAAUGAACUACCGCGACGCCAUGCUUCCAAGAAAAACUUCUAGGGUUAAUCGUAUAGGUGCCUGUACCGUAAACCGACACAGGUGGUCAAGGAGAGUAUCCUAAGGUGAGCGAGAGAACUAUGGUUAAGGAACUCGGCAAAAUGACCCCGUAACUUCGGGAGAAGGGGUGGUCACAGAAAUGUGACCCGCAGUGAAUAGGUCCAGGCAACUGUUUACCAAAAACACAGGUCUCUGCUAACACGUAAGUGGAUGUAUAGGGGCUGACGCCUGCCCAGUGCUGGAAGGUUAAGAGGAAGGGUUAGCAUGACGCAAGUCGAUAAUGCGAAGCUCCGAAUUGAAGCCCCAGUGAACGGCGGCCGUAACUAUAACGGUCCUAAGGUAGCGAAAUUCCUUGUCAGGUAAGUUCUGACCCGCACGAAAGGCGUAAUGAUCUGGAUACUGUCUCGACCAUAGACUCGGUGAAAUCUUAAUACCUGUGAAAAUGCAGGUUACCCGCGACAGGACGGAAAGACCCCGUGGAGCUUUACUGUAGCUUGAUAUUGAGAUUCGAUUAGUUAUGUAGAGGAUAGGUGGGAGACUUUGAAGUUAGGACGCUAGUUCUAAUGGAGUCAACCUUGGAAUACCACCCUUAAUUAAUUGGAUUUCUAACCUAGUGCCGUUAUCCGGUACAGGGACAGUGUCUGGU